rnacentral:rRNA from 1 species
UACGUAGGGUCCGAGCGUUGUCCGGAAUUAUUGGGCGUAAAGGGCUCGUAGGCGGUUCGUCACGUCGGCUGUGAAAACUCGGGGCUCAACUCCGAGCCUGCAGUCGAUACGGGCAGACUAGAGUGCGGUAGGGGAGACUGGAAUUCCUGGUGUAGCGGUGAAAUGCGCAGAUAUCAGGAGGAACACCGGUGGCGAAGGCGGGUCUCUGGGCCGUAACUGACGCUGAGGAGCGAAAGCAUGGGGAGCGAACAGG